GACGAACGCUGGCGGCGUGCUUAACACAUGCAAGUCGAACGGUGAAGCGCCUUCCUUUUUGGUGGGUGUGGAUGAGUGGCGAACGGGUGAGUAACACGUGAGUAACCUGCCCCCUUCUUCUGGAUAACCGCAUGAAAGUGUGGCUAAUACGGGAUAUUCUGGGUCUGUCGCAUGAUGGGUCUGGGAAAGAUAUUGUUUCGGUGGGGGAUGGGCUCGCGGCCUAUCAGCUUGUUGGUGGGGUGAUGGCCUACCAAGGCGGUGACGGGUAGCCGGCCUGAGAGGGUGGACGGUCACACUGGGACUGAGACACGGCCCAGACUCCUACGGGAGGCAGCAGUGGGGAAUAUUGCACAAUGGGCGCAAGCCUGAUGCAGCGACGCCGCGUGAGGGAUGGAGGCCCUCGGGUUGUGAACCUCUUUCGCCAGUGAAGCAGGCCUGCCUCGUUUGUGGGUGGGUUGACGGUAGCUGGAUAAGAAGCGCCGGCUAACUACGUG
rnacentral:rRNA from 1 species